rnacentral:rRNA from 1 species
CCUACGGGAGGCAGCAGUGAGGAAUAUUGGUCAAUGGGCGUAAGCCUGAACCAGCCAAGUCGCGUGAGGGAUGAAGGUUCUAUGGAUUGUAAACCUCUUUUAUAAGGGAAUAAAGUGUGGGACGUGUCCUAUUUUGUAUGUACCUUAUGAAUAAGGAUCGGCUAACUCCGUGCCAGCAGCCGCGGUAAUACGGAGGAUGCGAGCGUUAUCCGGAUUUAUUGGGUUUAAAGGGUGCGCAGGCGGAGGUGCAAGUCAGCGGUCAAAUUGCGGGGCUCAACCCCGUACUGCCGUUGAAACUGCAGCCCUUGAGUGCGCGAGAAGUAUGCGGAAUGCGUGGUGUAGCGGUGAAAUGCAUAGAUAUCACGCAGAACUCCGAUUGCGAAGGCAGCAUACCGGCGCGCAACUGACGCUCAUGCACGAAAGCGUGGGUAUCGAACAGGAUUAGAUACCCCAGUAGUC